ACAGCAGGGACACAGGAGGACAGCUGGUCUGAGUCUGAGACUGGACUUGGUUAUCGCUGUCAUCCUCCUUCACCAGCUUGGAGCUCAGUCUGUUUGAGCUGAGGCAUUCUCACACGCACUUUGGAAACCUUGUGUUUGUUUAAACUCCUGGACUGGAUUGAAGUAAGCGUACCUGGACCUCAGGUGAGGUGCUGUCCUGGCUCAGUGUGAACAGGACUCCGAGGGACGUGGACAGAUGUUGAGGAGAGCUGAUCCGUCCAGUGUAACGGUGCAGCGUCCCCAGAGCCAGAGCGUAGCCGCAGCGGGACGCUCCGUCCCGAGACGUCUUCAGCCUGGACACAGUCCACAGCACAUUUAAGACGCCGAGACUGACUCGCCUGUCGCUGACUCACCUGUCGCUGACUCACCUGUCGAAGCAGAGCAGAGAGAUGGAGACGGUGAAGCCGGGGUCUCCGACCACCUGCACCAGCCGGGCCAGACCUUCAGCAGCCAGGCAGCGCAGCAGAGGACUGACGCUCUCCAGCGCCCCCGUCAGGAGGGACAGCGCCGGGGCACGGAUGUCCUCGGGCCCCAGGAUGCUCUGAGUGCUGCCCUGGAGCUGAGGACCAGGACUUCAGUUACUCUACUGCCCCCACAUGACUGGAGAUAAAGACAUGAUCAUGUGACGCAGACGUCGCAGACUGACACUCGGUGAUUUUCAGCACAGACAGGUGACCUCUGA